rnacentral:rRNA from 1 species
GCGUAAGCGUGCGUAGGUGGUUUGUUAAGUCUGAUGUGAAAGCCCUGGGCUCAACCUGGGAAUGGCAUUGGAAACUGGCUUACUAGAGUGCGGUAGAGGGUAGUGGAAUUCCCGGUGUAGCAGUGAAAUGCGUAGAUAUCGGGAGGAACAUCUGUGGCGAAGGCGACUACCUGGACCAGCACUGACACUGAGGCACGAAAGCGUGGGGAGCAAACAGGAUUAGAUACCCUGGUAGUCCACGCCCUAAACGAUGCGAACUGGAUGUUGGGAGCAACUUGGCUCUCAGUAUCGAAGCUAACGCGUUAAGUUCGCCGCCUGGGAAGUACGGUCGCAAGACUGAAACUCAAAGGAAUUGACGGGGGCCCG